UACGUAGGGGGCUAGCGUUGUCCGGAAUCAUUGGGCGUAAAGCGCGUGUAGGCGGUCCGGUAAGUCCGCUGUGAAAACUCGAGGCUCAACUUCGAGCUGUCGGUGGAAACUUUCUGGCUAGAGUCCGGAAGAGGAGAAUGGAAUUCCUGGUGUAGCGGUGAAAUGCGCAGAUAUCAGGAAGAACACCCGUGGCUAAGGCGGUUCUCUAGUACGGUACUGACGCUGAGACGCGAAAGCGUGGGGAGCGAACAGG
rnacentral:rRNA from 1 species